CCCGCCGCAGCACGACGGACGUGCACCUCGCUACGAACGAGAAGGCUGCUGGUUCGAAUCCAGUCGGUGGGUCCA
rnacentral:tRNA from 8 species